rnacentral:misc_RNA from 1 species
AAAGUCGUAACAAGGUCUCCGUUGGUGAACCAGCGGAGGGAUCAUUACCGAGUGUAACAACUCCCAAACCCCUAUGUGAACUUUACCUUUUUGUUGCCUCGGCGGGAUCGUCCCGGGUGCGUUGCAGCCCCGGAACCAGGCGCCCGCCGCAGGAAAAAACCAAACACAACUUGUAUCCAGGCAAUGUUCUCCUAGUCUGCGCCUAGCGGACGAAAGACAGCAGCGCCGCAACGCCUCUGAAUAAACCUCUGAAGCGCCCUAGCGGGUGCUGAAGAAAUCAAUUAAAACUUUCAACAACGGAUCUCUUGGCUCUG